AACAAUUGACAGCUGAUAAGGACAGCUCAUCAAUCCGCGUGACACCCACCUUCCGUUUCCUUGCUCUUUUCUCUUUGCCUUUCAGCUACCAAAAAAACCAAAAAACUCUCUCCUUCUUCAAAUCUUUCUCUACCCAAAAUUCAAAAACUCUCUCACGCUUGCUGAAUCUGCAUGGCCACAGCUAGCAGCCACCGAGUCCCACACCUCCACCACCGGCGGUAGUUCCGGUACGUUCUUGUCUCUCUCCUUCGGCCGCUAAAGGUGCUAUCGCCGGUGCCACCACCACUGGUGGUCGCCGGGUCCUCCUCCCUUUCUCCUUAUUGUCUUUUCUCUUUUAUUUUUCUUUUUGUUUCUCUUUUUAUUUGCCUUUUAGAAGUGACUGAAUAGUUUUGUUUAGUGACUGGGUCUCCUUUUUGAGUAUAAAGCUUGAUGAUCUGCUUAAGUUUGAAAAAUUGGGGCUUUUAGGUGUAGCCGAUGUAUUUUGAUUAAGUGCCUGCGUGUAGUUGUUGUCUGGUGUUGCCUUUGACAUUAGUCCAGAAACUUUGUUGCUUGGUCAUGAACUCAUGAUGUAUGCUAAAAAUCAUUAUGAAAUUUCUCCUUUUUUUUUCCUAAUUUUUUUUAGGUAUCUGUUCCUUUUCUAAAUUUGGAUUGACUAUGCAGAUGGGUAAUUUGCUGGUGGAUGAUAUAUUUUGUUUCUUGUAGUUCAUUUUAAAGAUAUAAACUAUGGCUCUUGAUAGGUAAUGAGGUACAAUGUUUGUGAGCUUAGAAUAAUGAUUCUUGAUUUGUUAUGCACAACACAACUGGUUUUGUAAGCUAUAUUGCUACUCACACUCUUAUUUUUGGGCAUGAGCUAAUUCUUGGUCAGAGUUUCUUUAACAGCUUAUGUGACAUGACUGUUGUUAUGGCUGGAUUGUUAUGCUCUUACCAUAGUGUUGUUGCAUUGAUCCUGAAAAGUAUAUUGACCUGCUAUUUAGAAACCAUUCAGGUUCAUAGCUUGGACAUUUGACAAAUUAUGCUUUAUUUAGAACCCUGCUCGGUCCAGUUACAUAUUAUCUCUGGUAUUAGGAAUCUACUUGAGGAUAUUUAUAUAUACACACACACACACAUUUUACCUCCUCUUUCUUUACUUACUACCUUGUGCCUUAAGACUCAAAACUAUAUUAUUGCUGGACAUUGGUUGUUAUUGCACCUGACAGCCAAAAUAAUAUUCCUUUCUUUUCUUCCCUUUUGCUAACAAAAGUUUUCUUAGAAACGUAUUAAUUAAUAUCUUCCAACAUGUAUAUUUUGUGUGGAAAAGUGUUCUGUCUCAAUUACAUUUCUCUUUUUGGGUACAUUUCACUAGAGCUGUUUGUAAUUUAUGAUUAUAGUUUAUAGGGCACUUACAUAUGUAAUAGUGUGAGUGAUUUAGUGUAAGGUUUGGUUUAUUAUUAUUAUUAUUUAUUAUUUGUUUUUGGGUGGGGUAGGGGGUGUUGUUUGUGUGUUUGGUUAAAAAAUAAAAAUCUUUAUUGAUUUAUAAUUGAAGUACAUCAUUUACCAAAAAGGCAGAAAAAACACAAAGGCAGAUUUUCAAGCCAAACAACAUAUGAACACAUUCCAUUGCUAGAGGAAUGAUCAAGUGCAUAGACCCGCAAAAUCUGAAAUAAUUCUUGAUGAAAAUGUCCAUGUUGAUUAUGUAGCCUAAGUUCAAAGUGCUGAUGCUGGGACAGUCCAACAAAUAAUGAUAUUGUUGCUAGCCUGCCUGAGAGUAAGAGAAUGAACUAUUUUGUAGGUGAUAUGCUUGUGUCUAUCCCUUUUGUUGAUGCCAUUCUAAUUAAGAUACUGUUCAAUGGAUGACAUUCGAUGCUUGGGAGGGCAGUUGUUGUGAAUGCUAAUCCUGAUAUGAUUUGGAAGCAUGAAAGGCCAUUGGUUUAAAGCUACAUGUAUCUCUAUUGGAUCUAGUCGACUUUUGUUCUUUGCUUGGAGAGGUGUGUGUGCAAAAGAAGACUCAAAAAAAUUUUGGAAACCAACUAUGGCAUAUCAACUAUUGUUGAAAUGAAGAUACGAGUCCAAAGCACAAAACACAGAAGAAGACUGUGUGAGACUGAAGAAGAAACGAGGUCAUUUUGUGUAAAUGAGGACCUGAUGACAUUUAGUGACACAACAGCGUUUUGCAAUAUCUUUAGUAAUUGUUUUAGUGAAACACUUAGAUAGAUUAGUUCUAAUUUUUGUUAUGAAUUAACUCCACAUGUUAGAUUGUAAUUAAUGGUUAGAUUAAAACAGUUUUCCUGCUUAAUCAAGGAAGUAUGUUAGUUUUGCUUAUUUCUUUUCCA